rnacentral:rRNA from 1 species
UAAGGAAUAUUGGUCAAUGGACGCAAGUCUGAACCAGCCAUGCCGCGUGAAGGAUUAAGGUCCUCUGGAUUGUAAACUUCUUUUUAUCUGGGACGAAAAAAGGCGAUUCUUCGUCACUUGACGGUACCAGAUGAAUAAGCGCCGGCUAACUCCGUGCCAGCAGCCGCGGUAAUACGGAGGGUGCAAGCGUUAUCCGGAUUCACUGGGUUUAAAGGGUGCGUAGGCGGGCAGGUAAGUCAGUGGUGAAAUCCCUGGAGCUUAACUCCAGAACUGCCAUUGAUACUAUCUGUCUUGAAUAUUGUGGAGGUAAGCGGAAUAUGUCAUGUAGCGGUGAAAUGCUUAGAUAUGACAUAGAACACCUAUUGCGAAGGCAGCUUACUACGCAUAUAUUGACGCUGAGGCACGAAAGCGUGGGGAUCAAACAGGAUUAGAUACCCUGGUAGUCCACGCCCUAAACGAUGGAUACUCGACAUACGCGAUACACUGUGUGUGUCUGAGCGAAAGCAUUAAGUAUCCCCACCUGGGGAAGUACGACCGCAAGGUUGAAACUCAAAGGAAUUGACGGGGUCAUAGCUGUUUCCUG